rnacentral:rRNA from 1 species
GACGAACGCUGGCGGCGUGCCUAAUACAUGCAAGUAGAACGCUGAAGGAGGAGCUUGCUCUUCUGGAUGAGUUGCGAACGGGUGAGUAACGCGUAGGUAACCUGCCUGGUAGCGGGGGAUAACUAUUGGAAACGAUAGCUAAUACCGCAUAACAGUAGAUGUUGCAUGACAUUUACUUAAAAGGUGCAAUUGCAUCACUACCAGAUGGACCUGCGUUGUAUUAGCUAGUUGGUGGGGUAACGGCUCACCAAGGCGACGAUACAUAGCCGACCUGAGAGGGUGAUCGGCCACACUGGGACUGAGACACGGCCCAGACUCCUACGGGAGGCAGCAGUAGGGAAUCUUCGGCAAUGGACGGAAGUCUGACCGAGCAACGCCGCGUGAGUGAAGAAGGUUUUCAGAUCGUAAAGCUCUGUUGUAAGAGAAGAACGAGUGUGAGAGUGGAAAGUUCACACUGUGACGGUAUCUUACCAGAAAGGGACGGCUAACUACGUG